rnacentral:rRNA from 1 species
UACAGAGGUCCCAAGCGUUGUUCGGAUUCAUUGGGCGUAAAGGGUGCGUAGGCGGCGCGGUAAGUCGGGUGUGAAAUCUCGGAGCUUAACUCCGAAACUGCAUUCGAUACUGCCGUGCUUGAGGACUGGAGAGGAGACUGGAAUUUACGGUGUAGCGGUGAAAUGCGUAGAUAUCGUAAGGAAGACCAGUGGCGAAGGUGGGUCUCUGGACAGUUCCUGACGCUGAGGCACGAAGGUCAGGGGAGCAAACGGG